UAACGGGUAGACCUCCCACCCUUGUGUAUUUAUACCAUGUUGCUUUGGCGAGCCGUGUAGUUUCGGCUAUGCCUUGGGCCUUCGGGCUUGAGCGUGCUCGCCAGAGGAAAACUAAACUCUGAUUAUUUUUGUCGUCUGAGUACUAUAUCAAUAGUUAAAACUUUCAACAACGGAUCUCUUGGUUCUGGCAUCGAUGAAGAACGCAGCGAAAUGCGAUAAGUAAUGUGAAUUGCAGAAUUCAGUGAAUCAUCGAAUCUUUGAACGCACAUUGCGCCCCUUGGUAUUCCGGGGGGCAUGCCUGUUCGAGCGUCAUUUCAACCCUCAAGCUCUGCUUGGUAUUGAACUUUUGCCAGCAAUGGCAGGUUCUAAAAUCAGUGGCGGUGCCGUUGGGUCCUGAGCGUAGUAAUACUUCUCGCUACUGGAUCCCCGCGUGCCUCUUGCCAAUAACCCAAAUUUUUUUAAGGUUGACCUCGGAUCAGGUAGGGAUACCCGCUGAACUUAA
rnacentral:rRNA from 1 species